UACGAAGGGGGCUAGCGUUGCUCGGAAUCACUGGGCGUAAAGGGUGCGUAGGCGGGUCUUUUAAGUCAGGGGUGAAAUCCUGGAGCUCAACUCCAGAACUGCCUUUGAUACUGAGGAUCUUGAGUUCGGGAGAGGUGAGUGGAACUGCGAGUGUAGAGGUGAAAUUCGUAGAUAUUCGCAAGAACACCAGUGGCGAAAGGCGGCUCACUGGCCCGAUACUGACGCUGAGGCACGAAAGCGUGGGGAGCAAACAGG
rnacentral:rRNA from 1 species